rnacentral:sRNA from 1 species
UUAUCUUCCUGCCUGUCCCUCUCCCCAGCCUGCCACUGCACUGUGCAUGGCCGCUGUGAUGAGGGCCUUGGGGGCUCUGGCUCCUGCUUCUGUGAUGAAGGCUGGACUGGGCCACGCUGUGAGGUGCAACUGGGUGAGUAGCCCCGUGCUCGUGCCCACCCUAUACACUUGUGUACAUGUGCACACAUCAGUAAAGGCACCAAGGGUGGGCGGAACGGGCAGAGGCCAGGAAGGCAACUACUAACCUGGUUCUGGGGGCUGGGCCCUGGGGGACAGAGCUGCAGCCUGUGUGUACCCCACCCUGUGCACCUGAGGCUGUGUGCCGUGCAGGCAACAGCUGCGAGUGUGGCCUGGGCUAUGAAGGGGAUGGCCGCAUGUGUACAGGUAAGCAGAUGGGCGGGGACAUGGAGGUGGGAGGCCCCCACUCCCCUGCAGUCACUAGGUCCAACCACUCCCUCCCUGUCCUCAGUGGCAGACCUGUGCCAGGACGGGCAUGGCGGCUGCAGUGAGCAUGCCAACUGUAGCCAGGUAGGAACAGUGGUCACUUGUACCUGCCUGCCCGACUACGAGGGUGAUGGCUGGAGCUGCCGGGCCCGCAACCCCUGCACAGAUGGCCACCGCGGGGGCUGCAGCGAGCAUGCCGACUGCUUGAGCACCGGCCUGGUGAGCAGGUGGGGGAACCAAGCAGCCAGGGUGGGGAGGCCUGGCAGACCUUCCGACCUCUGAAGGGUGAAGGGCGCCCACUGCUCUCCCCAACCCCAGAACACACGGCGCUGUGAGUGCCAUGCAGGCUACGUAGGCGAUGGACUGCAGUGUCUGGAGGAGUCGGAACCACCUGUGGACCGCUGCCUGGGCCAGCCACCGCCCUGCCACUCAGAUGCCGUGUGCACUGACCUGCACUUCCAGGGUGUGUCCCCCUGCCCACUCCCAGUAUCCAUUUCAUUCCUCAGAGCCGGCCAGCUGACCGUGCACCCCUCCAUUCUGCAGAGAAACGGGCUGGCGUCUUCCACCUCCAGGCCACCAGCGGCCCUUAUGGUCUGAACUUUUCGGAGGCUGAGGUGGCAUGCGAAGCACAGGGAGCCGUCCUUGCUUCAUUCCCUCAGCUCUCUGCUGCCCAGCAGGUGUGUGGGGCCCAGAAGUGUUGGGGGAGGCCUUGACUGAGUCUUGGGUCUCAGUAUCCCCUCCUGUUCCUACAGCUGGGCUUCCACCUGUGCCUCAUGGGCUGGCUGGCCAAUGGCUCCACUGCCCACCCUGUGGUUUUCCCUGCGGCGGACUGUGGCAAUGGUCGGGUGGGCAUAGUCAGCCUGGGUGCCCGCAAGAACCUCUCGGAGCGCUGGGAUGCCUACUGCUUCCGUGUGCAAGAUGUGGCCUGCCGUUGCCGAGAUGGCUUCGUGGGUGACGGGAUCAGCAUGUGCAAUGGGAAGCUGCUGGAUGUGCUGGCUGCCACUGCCAACUUCUCCACCUUCUAUGGGAUGCUACUGGGCUAUGCCAAUGCCACCCAGCGGGGUCUCGACUUCCUGGACUUCCUGAAUGAUGAGCUCACAUAUAAGACACUCUUUGUCCCUGUCAAUGAA